GGUGGGCUGGCUGAGUGGUCGAAAGCGGCGGUCUUGAAAACCGUUGAACCGUAAGGUUCCUGGGGUUCGAAUCCCUAGCCCAUCGCCA
rnacentral:tRNA from 2 species